rnacentral:rRNA from 1 species
UAUAGAGGGUGCGAGCGUUAAUCGGAAUUACUGGGCGUAAAGCGUGCGUAGACGGUUACGUAAGUCGGAUGUGAAAUCCCCGGGCUCAACCUGGGAAUUGCAUUCGAGACUGCGCAGCUGGGGUGCGGAAGAGGGAAGCGGAAUUUCCGGUGUAGCGGUGAAAUGCGUAGAUAUCGGAAGGAACAUCAGUGGCGAAAGCGGCUUCCUGGUCCAGCACCGACGUUCAGGCACGAAAGCGUGGGGAGCAAACAGG